UGUCCGGCUCUCCACCCUUCAGCCGUACACAGCUUUAACAAGGAGGAAAUGGGUUCCCCGGACUCGGGGUGCGGCAGUGUGGAGACCUGUCGUAAAGCGGCGCACUCCGGUGGCCGUGAGCCUGUCCGCGCGGAGGCGGGACAGGCGGAGUCGAAUGCUAUGGCA
rnacentral:ncRNA from 1 species